UCAAUUGUAUGUCAUCUUAAU
rnacentral:piRNA from 1 species